rnacentral:rRNA from 1 species
CAGCACCUCAAGUGGUCAGGAUGAUUAUUGGGCCUAAAGCAUCCGUAGCCGGCGCUGUAAGUUUUCGGUUAAAUCUGUACGCUCAACGUACAGGCUGCCGGGAAUACUGCAGCGCUAGGGAGUGGGAGAGGUAGACGGUACUCGGUAGGAAGGGGUAAAAUCCUUUGAUCUAUUGAUGACCACCCGUGGCGAAGGCGGUCUACCAGAACACGUCCGACGGUGAGGGAUGAAAGCUGGGGGAGCAAACCGGAUUAGAUACCCGCGUAGUCC